rnacentral:rRNA from 1 species
GACGAACGCUGGCGGCGUGCUUAACACAUGCAAGUCGAGCGGUAAGGCCCUUUCGGGGGUACACGAGCGGCGAACGGGUGAGUAACACGUGGGUGACCUGCCCUCAGCUCUGGGAUAAGCCUGGGAAACUGGGUCUAAUACUGGAUAUGACUCCACGGUGCAUGUCGUGGGGUGGAAAGCCUUGUGCGGCUGAGGAUGGGCCCGCGGCCUAUCAGCUUGUUGGUGGGGUGAUGGCCUACCAAGGCGGCGACGGGUAGCCGGCCUGAGAGGGCGACCGGCCACACUGGGACUGAGACACGGCCCAGACUCCUACGGGAGGCAGCAGUGGGGAAUCUUGCGCAAUGGGCGAAAGCCUGACGCAGCGACGCCGCGUGAGGGAUGACGGCCUCGG